AUACUUACCUGGCAGUGGAAAAAAACCAUGAUCCAGCAGGUGGUUUUCCCAGGUUGAGAUUUGUCCAUUGCACUUGGGAUUUGUUGACCCCUGCGAUUUCCCCAAAUGUGGGAAACUCAACUGCAUAAUUUGUGUUAGUGGGGGACUGUGUGCGUCCUCUCCCCCU
ensembl:snRNA U1 U1 spliceosomal RNA